CGCCCGCCUAGCGCCCCGCGAGGGCGCCCGGGAGGUCUCGGCCGGGGCCCCACCCCCAUCCGGGACGCCCAGCACCGCUUGCACACCCGCAGAGACGGGGAGCUCACCACUAACCACCGGACACUUCUCCCUGGGAUUCCCGGGCGUGCUGGCUCUCGACCCGAAUGCUCAUCCACAAGCAUAUGGGUAAACAAACUGUGGAUAUCGAUACAUUUAGUUGUCAUGUCUCCAUCUUGGUUGUGACAGUUCCUCAGAUGUUCCUUGUUUUUGACGGCCUUGACAGUUUUGAGGAGUACUGUUCAGCUGAGGCCCUGCUCUCUCCCUCCGUCAUUCUCCCUGUAAAACAUCCACAUCGGCCAGGCACAGUGGCUCAGACCUGUAAUCCUGGCACUCUGGGAAGCCAAAGCGGGUGGA